rnacentral:lncRNA from 1 species
CUUGGUUUGUCUUCAUGAAGAGUGAUCUCAGGAAAGGUAAUUGACCUUUCUGAUACAAUUAUUAAAUGUCUGGUCAAACCUCAGUCUGAUAAACAGGCUCUAGACAUACAGAGUUCAUUAUACAGAAAUGUGCUGAAGUGGAAGCCUUUCAGUUAGGGUACAAGGGUACUGUACUGAUCCAUGACUGUGCACUUAAUUCUCUUUUAUCCAACAUUAGUUUUGGUUAAGGGGUAAAAGAGUCGCACUGAGUGAGUUUCAAGGCAGAACAGGACAGGCAAUCCUUGUCUUGCACUGAGGGGGUGGGAUCUGCAGAAAAUGCAAGAGGAAGGAGUACAUUUAAUUCAAGGUUACGGUUCCUGUUCCCACAUUUCUUCUCAUUCCCCACUGCAGGGGAGAAAAGGUACCCUGGACUCUGCAGCCCGGCAAGCCAUCAGCCAGGUGCUGUGUUUGACAACUCUUAGCCUCUGGAAGAUGCUCUUUUUAAGGCAACCUGUUCUUAACUUUAAUUAGCUUUUGAGAAAGUAUACAGAAACCAAAGCAAAAUGGACUCCAGUUUUGGUGUCUACAUUUUUGAGACUCUUUUCUGAUCCAUGCUAAGUAAGUUAAUUCGUUUUGUUUCAGAACAUUAUUGUGAAUGGUAGCAUGUCAUUAAAUAACCUUACACAUCAGAAACAAUGAGAAUAAUGGUAUUGCCUUUACAAACACUAUUGUCUUGACACUUCACAGAUUAUAUUUGCAGAGGUACUAUGGUUUUGGUGCUUUCAGGAUGUUCUAAACAGAGUGUUAAAUGAAGGCAUUUGAAUCCAAUGCUCCCAAAUAAUUCUUCAGAUAUUUUUUAGCAGUUUAAAAAAUAAAUUAAAAAACAUUAAUUU